rnacentral:rRNA from 1 species
GUGGGGAAUAUUGGGCAAUGGGCGAAAGCCUGACCCAGCAACGCCGCGUGAAGGAAGAAGGUUUUCGGAUCGUAAACUUCUAUCCUUGGUGAAGAUAAUGACGGUAGCCAAGAAGGAAGCCCCGGCUAACUACGUGCCAGCAGCCGCGGUAAUACGUAGGGGGCAAGCGUUGUCCGGAAUGAUUGGGCGUAAAGGGCGCGUAGGCGGCCCGGUAAGUCUGAAGUGAAAGUCCUGCUUUUAAAGUGGGAAUUGCUUUGGAUACUGUCGGGCUUGAGUGCAGGAGAGGUAAGCGGAAUUCCGGGUGGAGCGGUGAAAUGCGUAGAGAUCGGGAGGAACACCAGUGGCGAAGGCGGCUUACUGGACUGUAACUGACGCUGAGGCGCGAAAGUGUGGGGAGCAAACAGGAUUAGAUACCCGAGUAGUCC